GAUGAACGCUGGCGGCGUGCCUAACACAUGCAAGUCGAACGAGAUGCGUAUCGGAAAGCUUCGGCCGGAAGAUAAGUUAUCUAGUGGCGGACGGGUGAGUAACACGUGGGUAACCUGCCUUAUGGAGGGGGAUAACAGAGAGAAAUCACUGCUAAUACCGCAUAAGCACACAGUACCGCAUGGUACAGGGUGAAAAGAUUUAUCGCCAUAAGAUGGACCCGCGUCUGAUUAGCCAGUUGGCAGGGUAAAAGCCUACCAAAGCAACGAUCAGUAGCCGAUCUGGGAGGAUGACCGGCCACAUUGGGACUGAGACACGGCCCAAACUCCUACGGGAGGCAGCAGUGGGGAAUAUUGCACAAUGGGGGAAACCCUGAUGCAGCGACGCCGCGUGAGUGAAGAAGUAUUUCGGUAUGUAAAGCUCUAUCAGCAGGGAAGAUAAUGACAGUACCU
rnacentral:rRNA from 1 species